UACGUAGGGGGCAAGCGUUGUCCGGAAUCAUUGGGCGUAAAGCGCAUGUAGGCGGCUCGAUAAGUCUGCUGUGAAAGUUCAGGGCUCAACCCUGAAAUGCCGGUGGAAACUGUCGGGCUAGAGUCCGGAAGAGGCGAGUGGAAUUCCUGGUGUAGCGGUGAAAUGCGCAGAUAUCAGGAGGAACACCAAUGGCGAAGGCAGCUCGCUGGGACGGUACUGACGCUGAGACGCGAAAGCGUGGGGAGCAAACAGG
rnacentral:rRNA from 1 species